ensembl:misc_RNA 7SK 7SK RNA
AGAUGAGAGGGUUAUCUGGCUGGCUGCGAAAUCUUUCACCCCAUUGAUCACCAGGGUCAAUUUGUUUGAUCUGGUUGGUGAGGCAGGUGUCCCCUUCCUCCCUCAUUGCUCUGUGUGUGUGAUGUGUCUUCCUGAAUAGAGAUGAAUAGGUCUUCUUAAAUGUUAGGUCUUUCAUUGAGGGUAUAUGAGUAGCUGCACUCUCUUGGUAGAACCUCCAAACAAGCUCUCAGGAACUAUUUGACUUGGGUGGGCAUUAUUUUUAUACUAUUAAAUUUAGUGUAGUAUAUUUGAUUUUUUACUCUUUCUU